CGUGUAGGCGGUCGGUUAAGUCUGAUGUGAAAGCCCGGGGCUUAACCUCGGAAGGGCGUUGGAAACUGGCCGACUUGAGUUCGGGAGAGGGAAGCGGAAUUCCGGGUGUAGAGGUGAAAUUCGUAGAUAUCCGGAGGAACACCGGUGGCGAAGGCGGCUUCCUGGACCGAAACUGACGCUGAGACGCGAAGGCGUGGGGAGCAAACAGGAUUAGAUACCCUGGUAGUCCACGCUGUAAACGAUGGGCACUAGGUGUGGGGGGUUUUUAAUCCCUCCGUGCCGCAGCUAAACGCAUUAAAGUGCCCCGCCUGGGGAGUACGGCCGCAAGGUUAAAA
rnacentral:rRNA from 1 species